ensembl:lncRNA
UCUCCUCUCUCACCUCUCCUCUCCUCUCUCACCUCUCCUCUCUCACCUCUCUCCUCUCUUACCUCUCUUCUGUCCUCCACUGAUAAACCAACCAACCACAUCCUCCUCUUCUCCUUUUCCUGUGGAUGUUCCUCCUCUAACAGACACUUAUCUUCCUCACCCAGUCUGUCCAUCAGAGGUACCUCCUCUAACACAAACACUCAUCUUCCUCACCCAGUCUGUCCAUCAGAGGUACCUCCUCUAACACAAACAGUCAUCUUCCUCACCCAGUCUGUCCAUCAGAGGUACCUCCUCUAACACAAACAAGUGCAUUCGAUUCACACCCUCUUUUUCUGAUUUAUAUCCAUGUCAUACUGUACUGUUAGUAUUAACAGAUACAUGUCAUACUGUUAGUAUUAACAGAUACAUGUCAUACUGUACUUAUUAACAGAUCCAUGUCAUACUGUACUGUUAGUAUUGAAGGAGCCGUACUAUAAACGGUUCUAGCGUCUCUUGGCCAGACUAAACAACUUGUGUAUUUUCUGAAUUCCAUUUUGCAGCUCAUGUAAUCCUCAUAAUGGACCUGCCUUCAGUUUGAAUUCAGGAAGUGAAAAUUAAAACUGCCCAUUGUUCUCUAUGAAGAGAGUUUUUUUUUAAAUCACUCUUUUUAUUUUGGAUCCACUUUAAUGACUUGACUGAAUAGAUCUGAAUUGACUCUGACUCUGUUGCAGUCAUUGAUAGAACAGUCAUGUUGCACUUCACUACUGUCCCAUCUGACCAUGAGUCAGCGUCAGGCCUAAUGCUAUACAUUGAUUUGUUUUGUUACAAGUUGUUUUGUUUUUUUAAAGGCCCAGUGCAGUUAGAAAUAUGUAUUUAUAUAUAUUUCCACACUAUGGGGUUGGAAUAACACUGUGAAAUUGUGAACAUUAUCAUAAUGUCCUUUUUAGUGUCAGUUGUUUUGAAUAGACUGACAUUUCAGCCUGUUUUGGCAGGAUGGAGUUUUGGCCUUCCACGGUGACAUCACUAUGGGGUGAAUUAGUUAAUAGACCAAUAAGAAAGAGAGUUCUAAAACCCCUCUGCCAAUACCAGCACAUUUUCAGUUUUCCCCUCCCCACUCAGACCACUCCCAGACAGACCUAGCUAAAUUGUUGCUUGAAAUCACAGUAAGGUACUGCAUUGUUACCCAGGAAUGAUUUGAUAUUGACAUUUGGACUUUAAAAAAUAAAUAUUGCAUUAUUCCUAAAUUAACUUUUGUAUGCCAACAGUGUUUCUCAUGCAGUAUAGAAUCAAGCUGCAUUCUGGGAUGUAAGCUACUGUAUUCUCCAGUGAUGUUUAUAGUCCCCGUGAUAUCUACUAUCUCCAUCAUGCCAUCCUUGCUGUGUUGUUCCAAGGCUCACUGAUCUGUGUCUGAUGACAUGGUUAGAGUUGCGUCCCGACUCUCCACACUUCUCGUAGAGCGUAGAGCACACUUCCUGUCAUCGAAACAGACAAAGAGAACCAGUCAGAGCCCAGAACCUCAGGGAAAUGGACAUUGGUUAGAGAAUUAAGGGAAGAGGAUCACUGUCUGGAAUCAUGUGUUUUAUUAAAAGGUUUUGAAUGGUUGAAGGAUAAAUUAUAAUGUGUGAUAUUAUAAUAACCAAUAAAGUUGUGUGAAAUAAAG